GAAUUGCAGGGGAUUUGGCCAUCACCCCAUUGAUUGAGAGUUGGUUCAGUUGAUCAGUUUAUCCAGGUGGGUGUUCCUCCCCCCUUCACCAUUCACGUGUGUCCAUCCUAAAGCUGUACCCUUGGUGGAAGAGGACAACCAUCCCAGACAGAAGGAUUAUGCCAAUCUUUGGUCAAGGGUGUAUAAUAUUUGAGUUCUCCUCCUGGAACCUCCCAGCAAGGUUAUAGGAAGAGUUCUGAUUUCCAGCCAAAUUCUGACUAGGAAUUUAAGGCAGGAAUACUAUCUGUGGUUGAAAAUGUGGGUUCCCACUUUUU
rnacentral:snRNA from 1 species